rnacentral:rRNA from 1 species
GACGAACGCUGGCGGCGUGCUUAACACAUGCAAGUCGAACGGAAAGGCCCUGCUUUUGUGGGGUGCUCGAGUGGCGAACGGGUGAGUAACACGUGAGUAACCUGCCCUUGACUUUGGGAUAACUUCAGGAAACUGGGGCUAAUAUCGGAUAGGAGCUCCUGCUGCAUGGUGGGGGUUGGAAAGUUUCGGCGUUUGGGGCUGGACUCGCGGCUUAUCAGCUUGUUGGUGAGGUAGUGGCUUACCAAGGCUUUGACGGGUAGGCGGCCUGGGAGGGUGGACGGCCACCUUGGGACUGAGGUACGGCCCAGACUCCUACGGGAGGCAGAAGUGGGGAAUAUUGCACAAUGGGCGGAAGCCUGAUGCAGCAACGCCGCGUGCGGGAUGACGGCCUUCGGGUUGUAAACCGCUUUCGCCUGUGACGAAGCGUGAGUGACGGUAAUGGGUAAAGAAGCACCGGCUAACUACGUG